UGGCUCAGUGGUUGAGAGCACUGACUGCUCUUCCAGAGGACCUGGGUUCAAUUCCCAG
rfam:Cricetulus griseus cell line CHO-K1, whole genome shotgun sequence.